AGCCCUCUAUCGACGGCCAAACGAAGUUACCCAUAAUAACACAGUCGUGCAAUCCGGUCGAGGCAUCUGCAGGCUGGCAGUUGCUGAACCCUUCUAAAACUUAUCUGACAGCAGUCGCCCGUUCACCAUGUCUCUCUUUUGGAGCUGUUUAGUGGGGCCUCGGCUCUACAGCGUGUACGGGCAGAUCAGAUCAGGGAAACAGGUCAUUCCAUAUGUUGCUAAUGCACUAGAACAGUUUGGGAACAACAUUAUGAAAGGGCUGAACAUCAUGUACAAUAUUGGUUACUUCGCUUCACCCUUUAUUGCUUAUUCUGUAUACCAGUGGGAAUACUCAAGCUACAUCACUGCAGCCAAG